ensembl:lncRNA
UCCGUCGCGUAAAUUUCGCUUCAAAGGUUUUUUUUUUAUUUUUUAUUUUUUUUACGCGCGAAUGGAUUCAAAUUUUUUAGACACGGCAGGCGCGAAUUUGACGCGCGUCUGGUGUGACUGUGAACGCACAGUCAUGGAGGUUGGCUCGCUUGUUUCUUUUCCAUGGACAGUUUAUCUGUGCUUGCUGCCCAGGUUUAAAAAGUGUGCACGCUUGCUGUAUAGCAAGAUGUUGCGUACAGGGCAUUGUGCAAUUUGGAAGAAUUUUGUGUGGAUAUAAGCAUCCACCUUCAUUUUUUUAAGAAUACCGUUUAGGCUUCCUUUAUCAUGUUUCAUGUGAACCUUUAUGAUUGUUGAUAUUGCGUCACUAUUUUCUAAUGAAAUCAUGUAAAUAAGUGUACGGGUUUAUUUUUAGGUUAGUCACAUUUCCGAGCGAAAUGUUAUGAAAUGUUAAUGUAAACAUUAUGUUAACUCUCCUCUCUCUAUUAGCUUUACCUCCUCUGUGUUGGUGCUUGUCAUGGUAACGUGCACAUUUUCUCAUUCAUUACGUUUCUGAAUGUAUUUUUUUUUUCUUUACAGCACAUCAUGUUGGUCAAAGUGAGAUUUGGUGAAACUCAGAAGUAUGUUAAAGUUGCCCAAACUGAAGAGGGCUAUGAAGACUACAAUACAUUUCUUCAGAAAGGUUUUCAUCACUUCAUUACAUUGAAGUCAUCAGUUUCUAAAAUUUAUUUUCCAUUUACAAUGGGACUGUAAUCUGGUUAUAUUGCCCCAGCCACCAAGUUGUGUUUAUUGUGCUGGGCAGUAAUAAUUUCUUGUCAAGCAGUCCAAAUAUAGAAUCUAAAAUGCAGAAAAAGAAAAACACCUGACACUGCUCAGAAUACUACAAUUGUUAACAUUUUUUAAUACUACUAAUAAUGGGAAAUGCACUGUUUUUCUUUAUUUUCCUAAAUCUAAUAUUCUCUCAGUCAUAGAAAAGUUAGGUCUUCCAUUGCAGACCGAGCUGCAUGUCACAGAUGAUUCUGGGACAGAAGUGGAUGCGGAUGUGUAUGAGGAGCUUUUAAAAGCAGGGAAUCUUAUCAUUCAUGUGUCCACAGAAAAGUCUACAGUUGUGCUUAAUCAAGAUCUCUCACAUUCUACGUCAGAGUUGCUUGUGUCCGACACGUCAUCCUCUGUGGCGUCUGAUUCAUCAGAUGCAACAGUGAUUCAUGAUAGAAACAAUGUAUAUAAAAGAACCCACAUUGAGCGGGAAUCAGCAAAUGAGGUAUUGGGGAAUUUCAGUAAUAAAUGAAAUUAGUUAUUAUUCCUCAAACACAAAGAUUCUGUAGAAGAGCUGUGGUUUUAUUGCAGGAAUGUCUAACAUGAUGACUACCUUUGUGAUUCUUCUUCAUGUUUUAGAUGGUGAGAAACGUUCUCCAGUCUAAGCCGGGGGGAGAAAAAAUCUUGCACGAGUAUGACAAAACAAAGACAUUGACGGAUGCUACACGGCGACAAAUGGUAAGCCUCCUGGUUGCAGACAUGAUGGAAGUACAUGGGUAAGUAUACCAUGUUGGUAACACUUUACUUGAAGGGGUGUGCAUAAGACUGACAUCACCUUCAUAAUCAUGACAUGUCACAUGUCAUGAGGUUUUAUGCAUGUUUAUGACAACUGUAAUUAAGUAUCAUUCACUAAAAUAUGACAUUUUUAAUGCAAAUGUCAUAACAAAGACAUCUCAAACAAUGUCAUAUUUGCAUUAAAAAUGUCAUAAUU